CAACUCUGCAAUCAUCCAGCAGUUGGUAAGACCUAUUAAUAUUUCAACUUGUUUUUUUUUUUUUCAGUUGCAGGGCCAUGACACUCAUGGAACACAAACCAUCUAUUUGCCUACCACAAAACGCACCCAAGUGUCUCAAAAUGCCCUUCUGGUUACAAAAUGAGACACUGCUUCAGGACCUUGGAGAGCACCCUUCCAGGUUAACACAAGAUCAUACACCCUGCACUGAGUUCCAGCUCACAUCAAAACUGCGGGUUGGAGCCCUCCUGCUCAGGGAAGCCUCAGAAAGGGUCUGCUUGGCCAACGGAAGAUGGAGCUCGGAGAGGCUUUAUGCUCUUGCAGUGAGAUGUAUGUCUUCAAAGUAUCCCUUUAGAAAAACAAAACGUAAAGCACCCCCACCCUGAUCACACAAUGCAUUCUUGUUCCCUUUGAAAUUUUAGGAAAUUUUUUUAAAGCACCAAGAAGAAAAAUAAAUUACAUCUAUAUCUCCACCCAUGAAAAUGGGGUCCCUUCUCAUAGCGCCUUUUUUUUCUUACUUCGUAAGUCUUGACCCUUUCACUACCAUUUAAUAACCUCCAGGCACAUCCAUGUUAUUAGCUC
rnacentral:lncRNA from 1 species